rnacentral:rRNA from 1 species
AGUGAACGCUGGCGGUAGGCCUAACACAUGCAAGUCGAACGGCAGCACAGUAAGAGCUUGCUCUUACGGGUGGCGAGUGGCGGACGGGUGAGGAAUAUAUCGGAAUCUACUUUUUCGUGGGGGAUAACGUAGGGAAACUUACGCUAAUACCGCAUACGACCUACGGGUGAAAGCAGGGGAUCUUCGGACCUUGCGCGAAUGAAUGAGCCGAUGUCGGAUUUGCUAGUUGGCGGGGUAAAGGCCCACCAAGGCGACGAUCCGUAGCUGGUCUGAGAGAAUGAUCAGCCACACUGGAACUGAAACACGGUCCAGACUCCUACGGGAGGCAGCAGUGGGGAAUAUUGGACAAUGGGGGCAAGCCUGGUCCAGCCAUACCGCGUGUGUGGAGGAGACCUUCGGGUUGUAAAGCCCUUUUGUUGGGAAAGAAAAGCAGCAGGUUAAUACCCCGCUGUUCUGACGGUACCCAAAGAAUAAGCACCGGCUAACUUCGUG